rfam:Puccinia triticina 1-1 BBBD Race 1 supercont2.7, whole genome shotgun sequence.
GCUCCCCUGGCGUAAUGGUAACGCGUUGGACUUCUAUCCAUUCCCAGGCGAGGUUCUGAAGAAUGUGUGAUCCGAAGACUGCGGGUUCGAGCCCCGCGGGGAGUG